UGGAACGGGGGCUGUGCCGAUUGAAAUGUUUGGCUCGGCUCAGGGCAGGGAUAUCUCAGAAGAUGACUUGCUGAACAUCUGGAACUUAUCACAAAAUUUUACCAAAUUUUGGUAAGAUCCAUUGAGACAUUGUCUUCUUUCUUGUUUUGGUGCUGAAGAGGGCAAAUCAUAUGCACCACUGCCAAAUUGACACUGAGAUUUCAGCUGGCACCUGUGAAUACAAGUUUCAUGUAUAUCUAAAGUCACUUAAUAAUAAUUCUGCAGCUCACCAAGCCACAUAAUUUCUGUAUGAUACAUUUCUGCUCUUUAUGUGUCCACCCAAACUACCAUAAUGUAUGUUUACUCAGAAAGUGAAGAAAUAAAACUGUACAGUAAACUCUUGGUUAUCCAACAUAUACAAGGAAUGAAGUUUGCUAAUUACAUGUAUUUGCUGGAUGCAUGAGAAAAACUCUUGUAGAAACCCAACAGAUUGUCUAAAGUAAUUCAUUUUUGCUUUAGUUCUUGUGUGGGUGUCAUUCUAGGUGACACAGCAUAUUGAUGGACAAAAGAUUUUGGACACAUACACAGUAAAGCGAUCACAAAUUCAACUAGCAUCUAUUGUAAUGACACAUGCCUAAGGGAGGAUGAUGGGUAACAUUCCUAGUGGCUGUUGGGAGAACUACCAGAUGGUGGGUGAAUAUAUGUGCAUCACAAAUUUGUUUUUCAAUAACCUUUAAAAACAUGAUCAAUUUUCUUAUAAUUUUUUGCCAGUUGGAUGAGAAUUCUAUAUGCAUAUAUAUACCAGAUAACUAGGAGUUUAUUGUGUUUUCUUUUCAGUAUUGCUUGUUAACUGCUACUUUCAUCUGGGAAAUACAUAAAGUCAGAUAUAAGAAAUUGUCUCACAAGGAAAAUAUUUACUCUUGGCUUCACUCUCUAAACAUUCACAUAAAGAUUAAAAUGAAAAACCAUCUAAAAAUGUGCUGCAGCAGUUAUCCCUUCAAAGACACCAUUACUGGAGCAAUAAUGAAUGGCUUGCAUCACUUCUUAGUAUUUUUUAUGUAAAUUUGACAUAUAUAUAAAAGUUCAGUUGCUCCUGUCAUUAGAGAAGCUUUAUCAUUAUCGGUGUCAGGAAAUGCACACCUUCAUUCAGCAGGUACUGGAAGUUGAUGUCAUGAGUACUGACAUAAUUACAAGUUGAGAAAUUAAUACCUUACUGAAGAAGCAUAUAGUGAAUGUGAAAUAUUUGUAAUCACUUUUCAUCACUGUCUGCAUGAAGCUUCAUUCUGAUAAGUGAGAAGCUUUCUUUUCCCAUUCAAAUACACAGACACAUUUUCAUUUAUCGUUAAAUUUGAUGGCAAUAACUAAUGGACUGUUGGAACUACCAAUCUAGAAUUUUGUAUGAAUAUAAUUUAUAAACAUUGUAAUAAAUUAUACAUAAAAUAUUGUUUAUGAAUUAACAAUUACAAAAGCAGUAGUGCUGCAGAACUUUUCUUUCAGGUCAUAUCCAAGAAACUGAAUGUAGACAGAAUCUGUACUUAAUAAGUUAUUCCCAGAAAGUAACUGAUUACAUUGAGCACAAACUCCUUAAUAAGUUAACAGUCGCUCAGGUAGAUAAAAGAUUCACCACUUUUUGCAUACCUGCAAGUUCACUACGAAGUUCACAAUGGCUUACUACUGGUACCCCUCAUGAGCCAAAUGAAUCCAGUAAACAAACCUAUACUCUUAUUUUGCAAAGAAGGUGACAAGAAUUUAGCACAUUUACAAUCAUAAGAAAUGAAAAAAAAUUAACUCACAUAGGAUUUGAGUGCACAAGCCCAACAAAAUUAUCCAUGAGCUAAACUGCAUUUUAUUGCUGAAUUAUAAAUUUACACUGUGUAAAUAUAACACUAAUAAGAUAACAUAACUGGGAGUAACAGAUGACCCCACUUGUGAAUGGUGCAUAGAAAAAGACGAAUCAUCCAUGCACAUCCUACGUGAUUGUGAGGCUAUAGCUUAUUUAAGAUUUUAUCACUUGGGCCAAUUUUUUAUGGAACCAAGUACUAUUAUAACGCCCCCAUAAACAAAGUCUUACAUUUCAUUUGAAGUGUAGGAUUGAUAAAGUGUUAAACAACAAAGGGGGAAGCACAAUAGAUCAUUGAAAGUCACAGUACAAGGGCCAAAAGGGCCCACCCCUUAUGCAUUCAUUCAUUCAUUCAUUCAAUAAGACAACGUUUAUGAGAUUGGAAGUCCAUAUUGUAAUGAAUUAGAUUUAUGAGUUCUGCUUGGAACUCCCCAUUAUACUUUAAAAUCCUUUGGCCCAAGAAAACAUCCAAUAUGUUAUGAAAUGAAGAAUAUUAUUGUCUUCUGGGAUAUAACAUCAUGUAGUCUGGCCUACAUGGCAUUAUAUCACAGAAGAUAGAUAGUACUCUUCAUAACCACUCUUCUGAGAACCUCAAUUCCUACAAUGUCAUGAAAUGUCAAUGGCCAAGAGUAUGGGGUGGAGGAAUAAAGUUCUGAUUUAGAACAUGACACUUUCCAUAAUAGGAAAUAUUUUAAAUGGAAGCAUUGAUGGUUUAGAUUAUACAACUGGUUACAGAACAAUGGGAGGUUUGCAGUUAGCUAUUACAUUUAUGGUGAUGAUAUAGGCAAAGGUAGAAACUAGCACUACAUUUGAUCGAAAAUUAGAUUUAAGAAUUCAUUAAGUAAAACUGUUUAGAGGAAAGAAGCUAAUCUAUAUAGAACAAAUUCUGUUCUCAUCUCAAAACAGAAUUACUGUUAGAUAUUAAUUUAUUUACACUACUGAUAAGAUUACUUUAUAUACAAGUAUAUAGUUACCAAGAAUAUGCAUACAGUAUAAAUAUUAUGAUAUCAUGAAGGUAAUUUAAAAUAUAUAUACAAGAUUUGAAUAUAAUUAUUCACCACAACUUACAGUUUCUAACACCAAAUUGAAGUCUUCACAUGAUGGUUCAUUGGUAAUGCAGAUUUUCAGCUAAUUGCUAAAAACACAUUGAUUCUAUUAUACUUUCUCAAAAAUGUUGUUGUCUCACUUACAUUCAAUCAUUCAUCCAGUUAAUCUGUAAGUAUGCUGUACAGCAAAUCAGUAACAUGGGUUCUGUGAAGCUUGUGUCCUCAUUAGACAUACAGCAUACAUAUAUGUACACUAGAGAGAGUCAGUCAUAAAUGGACAUAAAACGUAAAACAUGUGAUAUUCAAACUUGGAAAAAACAUUUAUUUCUCAAUAUAUAUACCCUCAUUCCAUCACUUUGUCAUUGUGUCAAAACCCGCAGCAUAGAAGUUGUUUUGACUGUUGUCUCAGCCACUUCUGCAACUCCAUGUCAACCUCUUCAUCAUCAUCAGUGAAAUAUUUGCCACCAAGGUGUUUCUUUUUUAGCAGACCAGACAGAUGGAAGUCACUAGGGGCCAAAUCCAGGCUGUAAGGCAGAUGUUCAAGAAGUUCCCACUGUAGUUCUCGAAUUCUCUCCCAGGGUGCUUGGGCUGCAUGGAGUCUGGCAUUGUCACAAUGAAUCAGUACCCCUCUUGUCAGUUGGCCUGGAUGUUUUCUGCAAAUUGCAUCCUGAAGCUUCAACAGAACUUCACAGUACUUUGCAGAAUUCACAUUUUCACCAUGCUGCUGGAAAUAGGCUAAUAUUACUCCCUGAGAAUCUCUAAACAUGGGAAGCAUAACCUUUCCAGCUGACAGCAUAACCUUAAACUUUUUGGUAGAAAAUGAACUGGGAUGUUUCCAUGGCAUUGAAGCGCCCUUGGAUUCAUGUUGGUAGAGAUACACCCAUGAUUCGUCCCCAGUAACUAUCCUGUUAAGCAUAUCUUCUCCUUCAUCAGUAUACUGCAAGAGAUGUUGCAAGGACAGACCCAUUUGGUUCAUUUUUUCUCGAUCCCUCACUUCUCUGUGCACCCACUGUGCCCCCACUUUUCAAAACUUCAAACAAUCAUGCAUUUUGCUGUAUGCUAAACCAUGGGGACGAUCUAGUGCAGUUGCACUACUGUCAGUUUGAAUCAACUCUUCCACCCAUUGCACAGUUGCUUCUGUUGCAAUCUCAACAGGGUGACCUAAUUGGGCAUCAUCCGUGACUUUCGAACGUCCUUGAGAGAAUUUAUUGACCCAGUUGUGAACCACUGUACAUGACAAACGCUUCCCACUCAAAAUGACUGGGUUUUUGGACAGUGGAAAAAGUUUGAAAACCUAUUAAUUUUGAGUGUUAUACACCAUCAUCAGAACCCUUUAAAAACACUUCUCAUGAUAACCAGGAAACAAUUCUUUAUUAAUAUCAUUUGCAUUGAGUCAUUUUAUCCACAAACAGGCACAACAGAACUCUUCCCUUCAGUAGUACAUUCGUUAAGCACGGUUGCCAUUCUGACUACUGAAACAAGCCUCUGUAUAUGCACAUGCACAUCUGCUACCUAGACUGUCAUGAAACUCGACUGUGCUGCUACUGAGUGCAGCGCGUAGAAAAUCCAUUGCUUCUAUUACAACUGUUUCACUUCCUUUUGUGACCUAUUUACUGACUCUCCCUCAUAUAAAUACGUAUAAUAGACACAAAAUUGUCCUAAUAAAAUUGCUGCGUUAUUAUACAUUCAGAACAGUCCUGGAGUUGCGUUUCUAAUUGCUAUUACCUUCAAAUAUAAUCUUGCAAAUAAAAUCCUUUCUAUAUGCCCUUAGAGUCUAAUGGAGUAAUGUGCUAUGGUAUUAUUAAUAACAGUUAAAAGUAUUUUGUAACCUCAGUUAAGUAGAAGUAUAAUGAAUAUAGAAAUGCUGUAAAGAGAAAAAAUGAUGCUUAUUAACCAUAUGAUCCAUACAAUUUGUUCAUAUUAUCCCUACCUCCUUCUAUAAUAUGGUAUACAAAUGGUCCUUAAGAUAUUGAAAGUAAAUUUAUUUCUGUCUGGUGUACUUUUGUUACAUUUGAGUUCUUGGCUGAAGUGACAACAAUUUCAUCCACUCCAGACUAGUGUUCCUGAUGUCGAAAUUAUACAAUGUUCUUCCACCUGCUUCACUAACCCUAGGUGUUAUAAAAGCCCCUGUAUUAAUAAAAGAAUAUUUAGUGGUCAAUUUUUAAAUUCAUCAUCACACUUAGAUUAAUUUUAUAAAAAUUAAUUCUCAUGUAAAUCUAAAAGUGCAUUGUGUUUGCUCCCUAUUCUUACACAAACAAAUGCACAUGGACACACAGUACAUGCAUGCGCUCAUGCACACAUAUAUUUAACUGUUCACAUUCUUCAAGUGGAUAAGGACAAAAUUCUUUACAUAUCAUUGUGGUACUCUGUAGAAAAGAACGUAGACAAUACAAUGUUGAGAAUUCAGAAGUUUAUAUAAAUAUAAUUAAAAUUUGUUGAGAGAAAUGCAUUAUGCAUAUGUAAUUAUCUGCACAAUCAUUUUGAAUUUUGCUCAAAAAUAAUCAGGACCCUGGUAACAGUAAUUUAUUGCUCAAAAUCCGGUAUGAACACAUU